rnacentral:lncRNA from 1 species
AAAUCUGGCAAAAUCAUCUUCAAAGUCCACUCUUUCAAUCCCAGUCAUCGAUCUCUCUCAACUACACUCCGAUGAUCACAAACCAAAAAUCGUUGAACAAAUCCACCAAGCUGCGAAAACCUGGGGCUUCUUCCAGGUAAUCAACCACGGAUCCCCCGUAUCCGUCCUGGAAGAAACCAUCACAGCAGUGAAAACAUUUCACGAGCAGCCAAGUGAAGUUAAGGCCAAGUUCUACAGGAGAGAAGAGGGACGUGGAGUCAUGUAUGCUAGUAAUAAUGAUUUAUACCGAUCCAAGGCUGC